rnacentral:rRNA from 1 species
UACAGAGGUGGCAAGCGUUGUUCGGAAUUACUGGGCGUAAAGGGCGCGUAGGCGGCCAUCUAAGUCAGACGUGAAAUCCCCCGGCUUAACCUGGGAACUGCGUCUGAUACUGGACGGCUCGAGUGCGGGAGAGGGAUGUGGAAUUCCAGGUGUAGCGGUGAAAUGCGUAGAUAUCUGGAGGAAUACCGGUGGCGAAGGCGGCAUCCUGGACCGAGAUUGACACUGAUGAGCGAAAGCCAGGGGAGCAAACGGG